rnacentral:rRNA from 1 species
GGAGUUUGGACCGUGUCUCAGUUCCAAUGUGGGGGACCUUCCUCUCAGAACCCCUACCGAUCGAGGGCUUGGUGGGCCGUUACCCCGCCAACUACCUAAUCGGACGCAUCUCCAUCCAUGGCCGGUAAACCUUUUGUCCUCGUUAGAUGUCUGCAAAGGACGCCAUAGGGCAUUAAUCCGCUUUUCAACGGGCUAUUCCCUAGCCAUGGGCAGGUUGGAUACGCGUUACUCACCCGUGCGCCGGUCGUCAUCUGGCUGAGCAAGCUCCGCCAAUGUUACCCCUCGACUUGCAUGUGUUAAGCCUGUAGCUAGCGUUCAUC